GACGAACGCUGGCGGCGUGCUUAACACAUGCAAGUCGAACGGAAAGGCCCUGCUUUUGUGGGGUGCUCGAGUGGCGAACGGGUGAGUAACACGUGAGUAACCUGCCCUUGACUUUGGGAUAACUUCAGGAAACUGGGGCUAAUACCGGAUAGGAGCUCCUGCUGCAUGGUGGGGGUUGGAAAGUUUCGGCGGUUGGGGAUGGACUCGCGGCUUAUCAGCUUGUUGGUGGGGUAGUGGCUUACCAAGGCUUUGACAGGUAGCCGGCCUGAGAGGGUGACCGGCCACAUUGGGACUGAGAUACGGCCCAGACUCCUACGGGAGGCAGCAGUGGGGAAUAUUGCACAAUGGGCGGAAGCCUGAUGCAGCAACGCCGCGUGCGGGAUGACGGCCUUCGGGUUGUAAACCGCUUUCGCCUGUGACGAAGCGUGAGUGACGGUAAUGGGUAAAGAAGCAUCGGCUAACUACGUG
rnacentral:rRNA from 1 species